CAGGUAAUCAGAUUUGUCAGCAAGACGGUCUGCUCACUGAGUGUGUCUCUCCAGGCCAAGAACCAAUUUUUAUUCUCAUAUUCUAAGUUUGAUUUUAGAAAAGUAAUGCAAGUACUUUAUUAUUGUUGUUGCUAUGGUGUUUCUGUUUGUUUAUGCAUUUAUUCUGAGACAGAGUCCCAUAUCUGGCCUCGAAUUCCUGCCUCUCCCUUGCCUCCACCUCCCCAAAGCUAGGAUUGCAGGUAUUUGCUUCGACAUCCAGAUAUUUCUUCUUAUCAAAUGUUUGUCACAUUUUGGUAGAGACUGUAGUCUUUAACCUUUUGACUAGAAGACCUAGGGUUAAACAAAUUAUGAAAAACUCCCCACAUUGCAAAUGAGAACCUAGGACCUACCAACUGUCUAGUAAUGAGGUAGAGACCUGGAUUAUGCACAUGGCGUAUUUAAAUGCCUGAAAGUGAAUAUUCCUGCUGCCUGCUGGUGUUUUAUUAUGUGUUACCUCUGAUUGACAGGUCGUGAAACAAUCGCGUUUUAAAAAAAACUGUUCAAGAUUGGACCUCACAUUUGACUUUUGUAUUUUAUAAUUGAGAAUAAGCUAGGUUUUACUUAAAACUCCUCCAUGUAAUAACAACCUCUUAUAUUUGUGAUCCAAUCAAGCCACCAGUAUUUUAACAUGCUCAGAUUGUCAAAAUGUCUAUUUAUUAGAGAAUUCUUAACUUUAUGGGCACCCGUUCCUGUAAUUUAUGCAUGUCAUCCCAUCUCUUGCCUUCCUUCUCUCUCUUUUUUUUUUAAUUCUAGUUUUGCAUGUUUAAUCUGCUGGUCAUCUGUAACCCAGGUCACCUUUCCACUUGGAGAAGACCAGUGCUCACUGCAGCAGCUUUGUCCUCUGCCUUGGACAUCUUUUCCUCCAGGAAAAGCAGGGCUGUGAGGGUGGAGGUUGCCAUGGUUACCGUUCCUUGGGUGUUGUCUGUAAAGGAGAUACCUUGGAAUCACAGACUUCUUAGUUUGGUAAGGACCGCUCUGAACAGAGCAGCAAAACCAGCCAGGUGGUGGUGCAUGCCUGUAACCCCCACAUUGGAAGGCUGAGACAGGAGAACUAUGAGUUUGGGGGCUCAGCUCGGUUUUUGAGACAGGGUCUUAAAAACACAAAAGCAAAACAAAACCACAGAGAAACAAUCCUAAACUGAGAAUCCCCAUCAGUUGAGACUAUAAUGCUGAUCCCAGACCUGGUGACUUAAUGGCAGUGUUUGCUAAGAGGAGAUACUGGAAUUGGGAUAGUCCUGAAUGACUCCGCCUGCCCCUGGGAGUUUCUUCUUUUGAUCCUGAUGUUAUCACAGGUCAGUUUAUGAUCAUGGUAUCAUAAAGUUGAUGCUGUACCUGACACAUGUGUGCAAAUGCAUUCUUGUGCCUGUACACCCAAGCACACAUACACACACAUGUGUACACACACACAUGCAUGCGCGCGCACAUACACACACACACACACACACACACACACACACCAUGGAUGAAGGAUCAUCGUGUACUGCAUCUCUAUCUAGCCUUGUUAAACACCACCAAAGUGAUCAUUUCAGACUCUGGACCACAUUUUCCUAAGGUAUUUUGGAUAGUUUAUUUUCCUAUCUGUCUGUCUGCUGUUGCAUGGUGACCUGAGAUAGGCUGUGCUUUCCCAUUUAUUUGGUUGUUACUUCUGUUAAUCAUUACAGAAUCUUAUUAUGACUGCCUGCAUAUAAAUCAAGAAAAACAAAUUUGAUUUCUAGCAUUCUAAUGUAGCAAAGCAAAUUUGUGCGUCUAGGAAGUUUGCUCUGUCAAUGUCAGGAACAGAGAGAAAAUAAAUGUGGCUGCAAAUGCUAGCUGUUACAAUCUUCUUUUGACCCCAAUGGCCCUUUAAAUAGCCCAAAUAAUGACUGUUUGAUAUUUAUUAUUAAGCAUAUUAAAUUCCUUGAUUAAUUGAAGCAUUUAGUCCUCUUUUUUUUGUUCUGUGUAGCAGUGAAAAUAGAUUGUUCUAUUAUCAUUCUUGCUAGGAAACAUAAAAUUAUUCAUAAAUGUAUUUUAAACAGGAGAUAUAUUCAGGUAUCAUUGGGUAUACGGAGCAGAAAAUGUUUCACAUUUGAAUGGCAGGCACAAGAUUAUAAAUGCCUUUCCUACUGAAUAUUAAUCACUGGUGGUUCCAUAUGGCUGGUGGAUAAAGCUCUGAGAGGCGGCCCAGAGAUGUAAAUUCCUACCCUACUGUGAACUUUAUGCGAUUAGUUUGCUGUUUAAAAUUAACUGACUGGCCUUCAAAUUAUUUAAAAAAG
rnacentral:lncRNA from 1 species